GAGAGCACAGUACGAUGAAAGUUGUAAGCUGUGUUCGGGGGGGAGUUAUUGUUUAUCGUUGGCCUCUAUGGUAGAACCCGUCGGAGAGGCCUGAGAGGCGGUGGUUUACCCUGU
rfam:Triticum aestivum genome assembly, contig: Triticum_aestivum_CS42_TGACv1_scaffold_405253_5BL